rnacentral:rRNA from 1 species
GGUUAAGCGACUAAGCGUACACGGUGGAUGCCCUGGCAGUCAGAGGCGAUGAAGGACGUGCUAAUCUGCGAUAAGCGUCGGUAAGGUGAUAUGAACCGUUAUAACCGGCGAUUUCCGAAUGGGGAAACCCAGUGUGAUUCGUCACACUAUCAUUAACUGAAUCCAUAGGUUAAUGAGGCGAACCGGGGGAACUGAAACAUCUAAGUACCCCGAGGAAAAGAAAUCAACCGAGAUUCCCCCAGUAGCGGCGAGCGAACAGGGAGCAGCCCAGAGCCUGAAUCAGUGUGUGUGUUAGUGGAAGCGUCUGGAAAGGCGCGCGAUACAGGGUGACAGCCCCGUACACAAAAAUGCACAUACUGUGAGCUCGAUGAGUAGGGCGGGACACGUGGUAUCCUGUCUGAAUAUGGGGGGACCAUCCUCCAAGGCUAAAUACUCCUGACUGACCGAUAGUGAACCAGUACCGUGAGGGAAAGGCGAAAAGAACCCCGGCGAGGGGAGUGAAAAAGAACCUGAAACCGUGUACGUACAAGCAGUGGGAGCACGCUUAGGCGUGUGACUGCGUACCUUUUGUAUAAUGGGUCAGCGACUUAUAUUCUGUAGCAAGGUUAACCGAAUAGGGGAGCCGAAGGGAAACCGAGUCUUAACUGGGCGUUAAGUUGCAGGGUAUAGACCCGAAACCCGGUGAUCUAGCCAUGGGCAGGUUGAAGGUUGGGUAACACUAACUGGAGGACCGAACCGACUAAUGUUGAAAAAUUAGCGGAUGACUUGUGGCUGGGGGUGAAAGGCCAAUCAAACCGGGAGAUAGCUGGUUCUCCCCGAAAGCUAUUUAGGUAGCGCCUCGUGAAUUCAUCUCCGGGGGUAGAGCACUGUUUCGGCAAGGGGGUCAUCCCGACUUACCAACCCGAUGCAAACUGCGAAUACCGGAGAAUGUUAUCACGGGAGACACACGGCGGGUGCUAACGUCCGUCGUGAAGAGGGAAACAACCCAGACCGCCAGCUAAGGUCCCAAAGUCAUGGUUAAGUGGGAAACGAUGUGGGAAGGCCCAGACAGCCAGGAUGUUGGCUUAGAAGCAGCCAUCAUUUAAAGAAAGCGUAAUAGCUCACUGGUCGAGUCGGCCUGCGCGGAAGAUGUAACGGGGCUAAACCAUGCACCGAAGCUGCGGCAGCGACGCUUAUGCGUUGUUGGGUAGGGGAGCGUUCUGUAAGCCUGUGAAGGUGUACUGUGAGGUAUGCUGGAGGUAUCAGAAGUGCGAAUGCUGACAUAAGUAACGAUAAAGCGGGUGAAAAGCCCGCUCGCCGGAAGACCAAGGGUUCCUGUCCAACGUUAAUCGGGGCAGGGUGAGUCGACCCCUAAGGCGAGGCCGAAAGGCGUAGUCGAUGGGAAACAGGUUAAUAUUCCUGUACUUGGUGUUACUGCGAAGGGGGGACGGAGAAGGCUAUGUUGGCCGGGCGACGGUUGUCCCGGUUUAAGCGUGUAGGCUGGUUUUCCAGGCAAAUCCGGAAAAUCAAGGCUGAGGCGUGAUGACGAGGCACUACGGUGCUGAAGCAACAAAUGCCCUGCUUCCAGGAAAAGCCUCUAAGCAUCAGGUAACAUCAAAUCGUACCCCAAACCGACACAGGUGGUCAGGUAGAGAAUACCAAGGCGCUUGAGAGAACUCGGGUGAAGGAACUAGGCAAAAUGGUGCCGUAACUUCGGGAGAAGGCACGCUGAUAUGUAGGUGAAGCGACUUGCUCGUGGAGCUGAAAUCAGUCGAAGAUACCAGCUGGCUGCAACUGUUUAUUAAAAACACAGCACUGUGCAAACACGAAAGUGGACGUAUACGGUGUGACGCCUGCCCGGUGC